rnacentral:pre_miRNA from 1 species
UAAAUACUCCCUCCGUUCCUAAAUACUUGUCUUUCUAGGCAUUUCAACAAGUGACUACAUACGGAGCAAAAUGAGUGAAUCUACACUCUAAAAUAUGUCUACAUACAUCCGUAUGUAGUAGUCAUUUGAAAUGUCUAGAAAGACAAGUAUUUAGGAACGGAGGGAGUACAAA